UACGAAGGGGGCUAGCGUUGCUCGGAAUCACUGGGCGUAAAGCGCACGUAGGCGGCCAUUUAAGUCAGGGGUGAAAUCCCAGAGCUCAACUCUGGAACUGCCUUUGAUACUGGGUGUCUUGAGUAUGGAAGAGGUGAGUGGAAUUCCGAGUGUAGAGGUGAAAUUCGUAGAUAUUCGGAGGAACACCAGUGGCGAAGGCGGCUCACUGGUCCAUUACUGACGCUGAGGUGCGAAAGCGUGGGGAGCAAACAGG
rnacentral:rRNA from 1 species